GAUGAACGCUGGCGGCGUGCCUAAUACAUGCAAGUCGAGCGAACGGACGAGAAGCUUGCUUCUCUGAUGUUAGCGGCGGACGGGUGAGUAACACGUGGAUAACCUACCUAUAAGACUGGGAUAACUUCGGGAAACCGGAGCUAAUACCGGCUGAUAUUUUGAACCGCAUGGUUCAAAAGUGAAAGACGGUCUUGCUGUCACUUAUAGAUGGAUCCGCGCUGCAUUAGCUAGUUGGUAAGGUAACGGCUUACCAAGGCAACGAUGCAUAGCCGACCUGAGAGGGUGAUCAGCCACACUGGAACUGAGACACGGUCCAGACUCCUACGGGAGGCAGCAGUAGGGAAUCUUCCGCAAUGGGCGAAAGCCUGACGGAGCAACGCCGCGUGAGUGAUGAAGGUCUUCGGAUCGUAAAACUCUGUUAUUAGGGAAGAACAUAUGUGUAAGUAACUGUGCACAUCUUGACGGUACCCAAUCAGAAAGCCACGGCUAACUACGUG
rnacentral:rRNA from 1 species